GAUGGUUUUGUUUUUGUAUGUCAUUCUGUCUCAUUUUUGUUGUAUCAUGUUAAUUCUAGUCCAAUUAAAUUAACAAACUAUAUAAACUACAUUCAAUAACAUUAUAUAUUCAACAAAACACUAUCAAAAAAUACUACAACACUUAAAAUCCAUAAACACUUGAAGGAAUUAUUCCAAUGCCAACAUGACUUGUCGAUCAUUUUUUUUCUUCAUUCAAACCUCCAAUCCUUAGAGUUUCCUGGAGAAAAGAAAAGGUUAAAUUAAAAUAUAAAUUCAUAUAGUAUAUUACAAUUAAUUCACUAAAAAGGUUAUUAAUAUUAACUAGUUAUUCUAAGAAUAGAACUACAAGUCAAUACAAAAACAAAGUAACAGAUCUAUUUUUUUAGUAGGUUGUUAAAUCAAAUAUCUGGAAAAAAUGAAAAUAGAGGUUAAAGAUCCUCAAACCCAAACUCAAAAAUUAACAAAAUAAUUAGUCAAAUAGUAACAUGAAAAAUCCAAAAUUGAGAAAUAGAAACUGAAAUAACAAACCCUAACUUGAGAACCUAAAAACAUGGAGAUGUUGCUGCUUAAUGAUUAAGAUACAACAAAUAAAAUGAAAACAAAAAAAUUACAAGAGUGUAAAAUAAAUAUCACUACAUAUCUCAAUAUACAACUUCACAGAUCUAUGGAUCCAAAAGGACAGAUUUGAAAAAAUUUAUAUACCAUGUAGAUCUGAAGAGAAAUCUGUCGAUCUAAAGAUUAUAUUAUUUACCAUGCAGCAUCUUUGUUCCUCAACCAUGAGCAGUUUUAUAUCUUACUUCUUGUGUAUUCCAUGAUAGAAAAACAAAAAGAAAACUAUUAAGAUUUGUGAAAACUUAAAACAACAAAACCCAGUAAAUCAAAAAAAGAAAAAUUGAUGAGAAGGAUGGUAGAUACUUUGAGUUUGACGACAGUGGAUGGAUGGGAUGGUGGAGAAAGAGUUGAGAAAACGGAGGAGAAGGAGGGAAUGCACGGCGGCGGCUAGGGUUUGGCAAUAGAAAAGAGUGAGUGAGAGAGGAAACAAAAGGAAUUGGAAAAUAUUAAGCGUAAAAAAGUAAAGACUGAAAAGGAUGUCAUCAUAUUAGUAAUAAAAAAUAAAAAUAAAAUAGUAAACACGGUUCGGUUCGGGUAUCCGUGGUUCCAUUUUAUUGAACCGGACCCGACCGUGUAAACUCACUAGAAACCGCAAAACAGACCCGUGAACCCGUAAAACCGUCCAGAUCC
rnacentral:lncRNA from 1 species